GGAAAACCAGCCUGCACAAACGAUGACAUGAAAAGGCAGAAUCCUGGGCCGGUGCAUCUUAAUCCCAGGCUCUACCCCUGGUGUCACCUACCAAGCCUGUUUCUGGAUGGAAAAAACCUGUGGAAGUAACCGUUGCAUUGAAAGGAAUCCAUUAAUUAUGUAUCUGGAUUAUGGUGGUGAUUACAUGAAUCUACAUGAGAUAAAAUGACACAGAACUAUACAGACUCAAGAUACCAUGUAUGCUUCCCGAUUUAUGGAUAUUGUACCACAGUGAUCUAAGAUGUAACCAAUGAGAGACACUGGAUGAAAGCAAUUAUUUUUGAGGUACCUGUUGUGUGAUCCUUUGGGGCCCUGCAGUUACAAACGUGGUGAAGUUUACAGUCUCUGCAAAUCAGCUCACAAAGAGGCCCUAGAAUUAGCCAAAACCUCUAUUUAACCAGACUGGAAAUAACAACUGACAAGGAUACAGAAUGCCUCACUUGAGGCAUAGAGACACAGAGCUUUUGAAGCUUACGAACAGACUAAUUUAAGCUGGACGAACUCAAGUCAGUGACUGUGAUUUUGUUGCAGUUUGUGAACUGGUUCUCCCUUCACAGCGCUGUCGUCUACAGGAUUCAAGAGCUGAGGAGGAGGACGAAGUCGAGGUAGAAACGGUUCUCCUCCACACCUCACACAUCAAAGUGUAUUUAUAAACAUAUUGGUUAUGUGAGCAGGACGCAUCAUUG